rnacentral:rRNA from 1 species
ACCCGGUUCCUGUAUGAUCACUGAAGUUAAGCAAUGUUGAGCCUGGUCAGUACCAAGAUGGGUGAUCACUUGGUAAUACCUGGUGCUGUAAG